rnacentral:rRNA from 1 species
CGGACGGGUGAGUAACGCGUGAGUAACCUGCCUUCAAGAGGGGGAUAACAUUCUGAAAAGAAUGCUAAUACCGCAUGACAUAUCGGAACCACAUGGUUUUGAUAUCAAAGAUUUUAUCGCUUGAAGAUGGACUCGCGUCCGAUUAGUUAGUUGGUGAGGUAACGGCUCACCAAGACCGCGAUCGGUAGCCGGACUGAGAGGUUGAACGGCCACAUUGGGACUGAGACACGGCCCAGACUCCUACGGGGCGCAUG